GACGGAAGGUGCAAGCGUUGCUCGGAAUCACUGGGCGUAAAGGGUGCGUAGGCGGCUUGGUAAGUUGGGUGUGAAAGCCCCGGGCUCAGCCCGGGAAGGGCACUCGAAACUGCCGAGCUGGAGUGCCGGAGGGGAGAGUGGAAUUCCUGGUGUAGCGGUGAAAUGCGUAGAGAUCGUAAGGAAGACCAGUGGCGAAGGCGAGUUUCUGGACGGUAACUGACGCUGAGGCACGAAGGCCAGGGGAGCAAACGGG
rnacentral:rRNA from 1 species